rnacentral:rRNA from 1 species
UACAAAGGAAUUGACGGGACCGCACAAGCGGUGGAUGAUGUGGUUUAAUUCGAUGUAACGCGAAAACCUUACCUACCCUUGACAUGUCAAGAAUUUUGCAGAGAUGUGAAAGUGCUCGAAAGAGAACUUGAACACAGGUGCUGCAUGGCCGUCGUCAGCUCGUGUCGUGAGAUGUUGGGUUAAGUCCCGCAACGAGCGCAACCCUUGUCAUUAGUUGCUACCGCAAGGAGCACUCUAAUGAGACUGCCGGUGACAAACCGGAGGAAGGUGGGGAUGACGUCAGGUCCUCAUGGCCCUUAUGGGUAGGGCUACACACGUCAUACAAUGGCCGGUACAGAGGGCUGCCAACCCGCGAGGGGGAGCCAAUCCCAGAAAACCGGUCGUAGUCCGGAUCGUAGUCUGCAACUCGACUGCGUGAAGUCGGAAUCGCUAGUAAUCGCGGAUCAGCUUGCCGCGGUGAAUACGUUCCCGGGUCUU